rnacentral:rRNA from 1 species
UACGUAGGGGGCAAGCGUUGUCCGGAAUUAUUGGGCGUAAAGAGCGCGUAGGCGGUCCGAUAAGUCGGCUGUGAAAGUCAGGGGCUCAACCCUUGAAAGCCGGCCGAUACUGUCGGACUAGAGUCCGGAAGAGGCAAGUGGAAUUCCUGGUGUAGCGGUGAAAUGCGCAGAUAUCAGGAGGAACACCGGUGGCGAAGGCGGUUCUCUGGGCAUGUCCUGACGCUGAGGAGCGAAAGUGUGGGGAGCGAACAGG